AGGUUGACCUCGGAUCAGGUAGGGAUACCCGCUGAACUUAAGCAUAUCAAUAAGCGGAGGAAAAGAAACCAACAGGGAUUGCCUCAGUAACGGCGAGUGAAGCGGCAAGAGCUCAAAUUUGAAAUCCGGCCCCCCUGGGGGCCUGAGUUGUAAUUUGCAGAGGAUGCUUCGGGCGCGACCGCGGUCCAAGUCCCCUGGAACGGGGCGUCGUAGAGGGUGAGAAUCCCGUCUCCGGCCGGCCGGUCUCGCCCGUGUGAAGCUCCUUCGACGAGUCGAGUUGUUUGGGAAUGCAGCUCCAAAUGGGUGGUAAAUUUCAUCUAAAGCUAAAUACUGGUCGGAGACCGAUAGCGCACAAGUAGAGUGAUCGAAAGAUGAAAAGCACUUUGAAAAGAGAGUUAAACAGCAUGUGAAAUUGUUGAAAGGGAAGCGCUUGCGACCAGAGUCGGCCGCGGGGGUUCAGCGGGCAUUCGUUGCCCGUGCAAUCCCCCGCGGCCGGGCCAGCGUCGGUUUCGACGGCCGGUCAAAGGCCCCCGGAAUGUGUCGCCUCUCGGGGCGUCUUAUAGCCGGGGGUGCAAUGCGGCCAGUCGGGACCGAGGAACGCGCUCCGGCACGGACGCUGGCUUAAUGGUCGUCAGCGACCCG
rnacentral:rRNA from 1 species